rfam:Mycosphaerella eumusae strain CBS 114824 scaffold434, whole genome shotgun sequence.
AGGAAGGUUCUAUUUGUUGGCAUGAUAGGUUGAGCUGUAAACUCAGUAGCUAAGGCUGUCGAAGGUUCGAUUCCUUUUCUUCCUA